AAAUAAAUUUUUAUAAAAAUUAAUUUUUUAAAUUUUAUUUUUAAUUAAAAUAUUAUUAAUUAUUAAGAAUUUAAGUAUAUUAAAGAAAAAAUAAUGUUAAUUAUAAUUUAUUAGUAAUGUAGAUGAAUUAUUUUAUUUAAGUUAAAGAAUUUUUUAUUUAAAGUACCUUUUGUAUCAGGGUUUAUUAAAUUAAAAUUUAAUAUUAAAUUAAUCUCGAAUCUAAAAGAUUUAAUUUGUUAUUUUUUAUAUUGUAAAAUAAAUAUUUAUAAUAAUAAGUUGGUAAUAAAAUGUUAUUCGAUUUUAGAUAUAUCUAGUUUUUUCAGAAAAAAAUUAAAUUUUGUUAUAUUUUAUUAUUUAUAUUAUUAUGAUAAUAUAAAUAUAAUUUAUAUUAAUAUUUUUAGGGAUAAGCUUAAAAAUAUAAAUUAUAUUAUAUAAUAAAAAAAGGAUAAUAAUUUUAUGAAUAAAAAUUUCAAUAAAAAUAAAAAUUUUAUAAUUUAUAAUAUAAAAAAUUGUAUUUUUAAAAAAUUAGUUAAUUAAUGAAAAAGUUUAAUAAAAUUAUUUAUUAAAUUUAUAAUGAUAAAAUUAGUAUAUAAUAAAUAAAAAAAAUUAUUAUAUUUUGUAAAUUAAAGUUAAGGAAUUCGGCAAAAUAAUUAUUCGCCUGUUUAUCAAAAACAUGGUUUUUUGUUUAUAAUUUAAGAUUUAAUCUGCCCACUGAAAAUAACUUUAAAGGGCCGCAGUAUUUUGACUGUGCAAAGGUAGCAUAAUCAUUUGUCUCUUAAUUGUUGACUUGUAUGAAUGAUUGGACGAGAUAAUUACUGUCUCAAUUUUAUUUUAAAUAAAAUUUUAUUUUUAAGUAAAAAAGCUUAAAUAAAUUUUAAGGACGAGAAGACCCUAUAGAGUUUAAUUAAUUUAAUAAAAAUUAUUAUUUUUGAUGGUAAAUUAUUUUUAUAACAAUUAAUUUAAUUGGGGUGAUUAAAAAAUUUAAUAAACUUUUUAAAAUUUUAUUCAAUAAAUUUUGUUUAUUUUGAUCCAGAAAUUUUGAUUAUUUGAUAAAAUUACCUUAGGGAUAACAGCGUUAUUAUUUUGGAAAGUUCAUAUUUAUAAAAUAGUUUGCGACCUCGAUGUUGAAUUAAGAAAAAUUUUUGGGGCAGUAUUUAAAAUUUUUAGUCUGUUCGACUAUUAAAUUCUUACAUGAUUUGAGUUCAAACCGGUGUAAGCCAGGUUGGUUUCUAUCCUAAAAAUAAUAAAAUAUUUUAGUACGAAAGGACCAUAUAUUUAAUUAAAAAUUUAAUUAGAG
rnacentral:rRNA from 1 species